AGGCAAGGUGCGCGGGACAAUCUGUGGUCGUCAAUGCGACGGCAACCCCUGAGCGGGUGGGAUCCUCAGACCCGGACUUGCCAACCUG
ncrna:unclassified sequences DTF3800-VII RNA